CCGGGGGUAGAGCACUGUUUCGGCAAGGGGGUCAUCCCGACUUACCAACCCGAUGCAAACUGCGAAUACCGGAGAAUGUUAUCACGGGAGACACACGGCGGGUGCUAACGUCCGUCGUGAAGAGGGAAACAACCCAGACCGCCAGCUAAGGUCCCAAAGUCAUGGUUAAGUGGGAAACGAUGUGGGAAGGCCCAGACAGCCAGGAUGUUGGCUUAGAAGCAGCCAUCAUUUAAAGAAAGCGUAAUAGCUCACUGGUCGAGUCGGCCUGCGCGGAAGAUGUAACGGGGCUAAACCAUGCACCGAAGCUGCGGCAGCGACGCUUAUGCGUUGUUGGGUAGGGGAGCGUUCUGUAAGCCUGUGAAGGUGUGCUGUGAGGCAUGCUGGAGGUAUCAGAAGUGCGAAUGCUGACAUAAGUAACGAUAAAGCGGGUGAAAAGCCCGCUCGCCGGAAGACCAAGGGUUCCUGUCCAACGUUAAUCGGGGCAGGGUGAGUCGACCCCUAAGGCGAGGCCGAAAGGCGUAGUCGAUGGGAAACAGGUUAAUAUUCCUGUACUUGGUGUUACUGCGAAGGGGGGACGGAGAAGGCUAUGUUGGCCGGGCGACGGUUGUCCCGGUUUAAGCGUGUAGGCUGGUUUUCCAGGCAAAUCCGGAAAAUCAAGGCUGAGGCGUGAUGACGAGGCACUACGGUGCUGAAGCAACAAAUGCCCUGCUUCCAGGAAAAGCCUCUAAGCAUCAGGUAACAUCAAAUCGUACCCCAAACCGACACAGGUGGUCAGGUAGAGAAUACCAAGGCGCUUGAGAGAACUCGGGUGAAGGAACUAGGCAAAAUGGUGCCGUAACUUCGGGAGAAGGCACGCUGAUAUGUAGGUGAAGUCCCUCGCGGAUGGAGCUGAAAUCAGUCGAAGAUACCAGCUGGCUGCAACUGUUUAUUAAAAACACAGCACUGUGCAAACACGAAAGUGGACGUAUACGGUGUGACGCCUGCCCGGUGCCGGAAGGUUAAUUGAUGGGGUCAGCGCAAGCGAAGCUCUUGAUCGAAGCCCCGGUAAACGGCGGCCGUAACUAUAACGGUCCUAAGGUAGCGAAAUUCCUUGUCGGGUAAGUUCCGACCUGCACGAAUGGCGUAAUGAUGGCCAGGCUGUCUCCACCCGAGACUCAGUGAAAUUGAACUCGCUGUGAAGAUGCAGUGUACCCGCGGCAAGACGGAAAGACCCCGUGAACCUUUACUAUAGCUUGACACUGAACAUUGAGCCUUGAUG
rnacentral:rRNA from 1 species